rnacentral:rRNA from 1 species
UACGUAGGGCGCGAGCGUUGUCCGGAAUUAUUGGGCGUAAAGAGCUCGUAGGCGGCUUGUUGCGUCUGCCGUGAAAGCCCGUGGCUUAACUACGGGUCUGCGGUGGAUACGGGCAGGCUAGAGGCUGGUAGGGGCAAGCGGAAUUCCUGGUGUAGCGGUGAAAUGCGCAGAUAUCAGGAGGAACACCGGUGGCGAAGGCGGCUUGCUGGGCCAGUUCUGACGCUGAGGAGCGAAAGCGUGGGUAGCAAACAGG